CGGGUGAGUAACGCGUGGAUAACCUGCCUCACACUGGGGGAUAACAGUUAGAAAUGGCUGCUAAUACCGCAUAAGCGCACAGUACCGCAUGGUACGGUGUGAAAAACCCAGGUGGUGUGAGAUGGAUCCGCGUCUGAUUAGCCAGUUGGCGGGGUAACGGCCCACCAAAGCGACGAUCAGUAGCCGACCUGAGAGGGUGACCGGCCACAUUGGGACUGAGACACGGCCCAA
rnacentral:rRNA from 1 species